UGCUCUUGCGAUCUCUCAGGCAUUCCAAAGUGAGGAAGUGGAUUCAGAUGUAGUAUCUGUGAGAAAGUACUGACAUGUAAAGGUGGAUAUACUGUUCAUCAGCAGAUGACUUGAAGUCAAAAGAAACGGAGACCAUUCAGUCAUUUCUACAGAUUUCCAAGCACGAAUGCUCUUAUGUUCAGCUGAGAAAAAAAUGAUGAACAAGCAGAAAAUACAGCAGCAAAGGACAAGGAAGAGAUGGCACACAUUUUAAGAAUGAAAUUAACUUAAUAAAUAUUCAGAUCAUUUCUAAGGGAUGUUACAUUUGGGAAUUCACUUUCCCAGUAUAGUACAGAUACUAGUACUUUGCUGGUAGAGGGUGGAGUGAAUCCCUUGUGUGAUUUGAACCAACCCUCUAAAGGUGAAACACCUUAUCACAGAACAACAUUGUUAGCAAUUUAACCUGACAAAUGUUAGUCAAGGUCUCGAUCAGAGAAGUGUAAAUGCCACAAUUACAAUUUUUUGCAAAGUUAUGCAAAUAAGAAUGUCAAAACUAUUUGGUUUAAUAAAUAGUAAUUAUUAAACUUA